ACAGAUGUGUGUCUAUCAAAAUCCGCCCAUGAGGGAAUAUUGCAAUUUUUAGCCGAAGACGUUCCAAUAUAGGAAAUACUCUAAUGAUCAUUUUAGUCAUUAAUUACCAUAGGCGCAUUAAAGUGAAGUCAUAACGAGAGAUGCAUCUCAGCAGAACUCAUGGGGAAUGGAACCAACGAGCACGCUCGCUCGCUGUUUGAGGGCUUUCCUUUCCCUGCAGGCUCUCAGGAGCCCGUAAGACUUCACACCACAGCCCUAACGAAGGGAACUCACACUAAAAACUAAGAGGGGGGAAAAAAGACACCGGCUAACUAUGGUCGGAGCCGCAUCGCCUACACGCACAGCCCCACACCGCGCCGUCUGUCGUUCCCCUUCCACCGGCUAUUGGUUAAACGUGCACGGCAUUCCCUGGAGACGCUGGAAAACAGCAUCUGACGUUUCUUCCCCGCUGAGCUGUGCGGGAGCGCUCCGAGCCCCGAGCCCCGGCACCCUGCCCGGCACCGAGCAGCUCUUCCAGCUCCGAGCAGCUCCGCGCUCGAACCGCUCCCCCUGACCCAUCUUCACCGUUUGCUCUCGCCCCGUCCCGGCAGCCCCCUCCCUCAGCCGGGCUCCCAGCGCCGGUGCCCGCUCCGACCCCCGGGCCGGCGGCCUCGCGCAGCGGGCUGAAAUCACCCCCCGGUAAAGCAGCGGGACCGCAGAACGCGCGUUAACUCCUUCAAACGAAGGCGGAGAGGCGUUCUGCGAGGCCGUUGUUUCGAACAAACACGCCGACGAAGUUUACGGGACGGCGAAGCGUCGCCCCGAGGGCGCUCCCCGCGGUGCCGCGCUGUGCCCCCCCCCCCCGGAGCCCGGCCGAGUUUCGGAGCAGCCCCCGAGCCCAGCCCGCCGCGCUCGGUUUGCUCUCUGCCAUAUGAAUCUCGUAUUUCUUGUCAGAUGCUAACAGAGCUCCAGGAGGAGCAGCAAACCCAGCUUGAACUCUUCCUGCUCGUCUCCUCUGGGCUGCCAGCACCGAUCCCCCACCACUCUCAGCAACACGCGCUGACAAGCUCUUUGUG